rnacentral:rRNA from 1 species
AGAGUUUGAUCCUGGCUCAGGAUGAACGCUAGCUACAGGCUUAACACAUGCAAGUCGAGGGGAAACGAUAUUGGAAGCUUGCUUCCGAUAGGCGUCGACCGGCGCACGGGUGAGUAACGCGUAUCCAACCUGCCCACCACUUGGGGAUAACCUUGCGAAAGUAAGACUAAUACCCAAUGAUAUCUCUAGAAGACAUCUGAAAGAGAUUAAAGAUUUAUCGGUGAUGGAUGGGGAUGCGUCUGAUUAGCUUGUUGGCGGGGUAACGGCCCACCAAGGCAACGAUCAGUAGGGGUUCUGAGAGGAAGGUCCCCCACAUUGGAACUGAGACACGGUCCAAACUCCUACGGGAGGCAGCAGUGAGGAAUAUUGGUCAAUGGACGAGAGUCUGAACCAGCCAAGUAGCGUGCAGGAAGACGGCCCUAUGGGUUGUAAACUGCUUUUAUAAGGGAAUAAAGUGAGUCUCGUGAGACUUUUUGCAUGUACCUUAUGAAUAAGGACCGGCUAAUUCCGUGCCAGCAGCCGCGGUAAUACGGAAGGUCCGGGCGUUAUCCGGAUUUAUUGGGUUUAAAGGGAGCGUAGGCCGGAGAUUAAGCGUGUUGUGAAAUGUAGAUGCUCAACAUCUGAACUGCAGCGCGAACUGGUUUCCUUGAGUACGCACAAAGUGGGCGGAAUUCGUGGUGUAGCGGUGAAAUGCUUAGAUAUCACGAAGAACUCCGAUUGCGAAGGCAGCUCACUGGAGCGCAACUGACGCUGAAGCUCGAAAGUGCGGGUAUCGAACAGGAUUAGAUACCCUGGUAGUCCGCACGGUAAACGAUGGAUGCCCGCUGUUGGUCUGAAUAGGUCAGCGGCCAAGCGAAAGCAUUAAGCAUCCCACCUGGGGAGUACGCCGGCAACGGUGAAACUCAAAGGAAUUGACGGGGGCCCGCACAAGCGGAGGAACAUGUGGUUUAAUUCGAUGAUACGCGAGGAACCUUACCCGGGCUUAAAUUGCAGAUGAAUUACGGUGAAAGCCGUAAGCCGCAAGGCAUCUGUGAAGGUGCUGCAUGGUUGUCGUCAGCUCGUGCCGUGAGGUGUCGGCU